rnacentral:lncRNA from 1 species
GGAUCUGAUGGCUUCAGAUUGGCAGAUUGUGUUAAAGUGGAAGAUAUGAUGGCUGUAGAUCCAGAGUCUCGUGAAGAUGAGGUCAACUGACUGGACUGUGCUUCCUGUGGUGGGUGAAGAUGAAGUAUCUCUGCUGACAUAGCCAGAGGCGUGUUCUCUAACCCACUCUGUGGCAUUCAGUAUACAAACAUCUCCAUGACAAUGUUUUUGCAGGAAUGCAGUCAGAUCUGUGUUCAGCUGAGUCUGCUGGGAUCUACUCAAUAAUACUGAUCUAAU